GAAGUGAGGGAGAGGAGGAGGAAGGGAGAGGGAAGGAAGGGGAGUGAGGGAAGGGGAGUGAGGGAAGGGGAGAGUGAUGGGGAGAGAGAGGGAAACUUCACUCCCUCCCACAUCCCUCCUCCCAUCCGGCGCUCACUCCCUGUCUGUGAGCGGUCUCUGGGCCAGACGCUGCGUCUGCUGGGCGUCCAGACAGUGGUGUGGUUGGGGCGUCUAGAGGAGGGGAGGGGGGGAUGGAGAGAGGGAGGCAAAAGAUGGGAAUUUAGCUUGUAUACGCUCU